UGGUAGUCCACGCCGUAAACGAUGUCAACUAGUUGUUCGUGUCUUUGAGACGUGAGUAACGCAGCUAACGCACUAAGUUGACCGCCUGGGGAGUACGGCCGCAAGGUUAAAACUCAAAUGAAUUGACGGGGGCCCGCACAAGCGGUGGAGCAUGUGGUUUAAUUCGAUGCAACGCGAAGAACCUUACCAUCCCUUGACAUCCAGAGAAUUUUCUAGAGAUAGAUUAGUGCCUUCGGGAACUCUGAGACAGGUGCUGCAUGGCUGUCGUCAGCUCGUGUUGUGAGAUGUUGGGUUAAGUCCCGCAACGAGCGCAACCCUUAUCCUUAGUUGCCAGCACUAAGGUGGGAACUCUAGGGAGACUGCCGGUGAUAAACCGGAGGAAGGUGGGGACGACGUCAAGUCAUCAUGGCCCUUACGGGAUGGGCUACACACGUGCUACAAUGGCGCACACAAAGGGCAGCAAGCGCGCGAGUGCAAGCGAAUCUCAAAAAGUGCGUCGUAGUCCGGAUUGGAGUCUGCAACUCGACUCCAUGAAGUCGGAAUCGCUAGUAAUCGUGGAUCAGAAUGCCACGGUGAAUACGUUCCCGGGCCUUGUACACACCGCCCGUCACACCAUGGGAGUGGGCUGCACCAGAAGUAGAUAGCUUAACCUUCGGGAGGGCGUUUACCACGGUGUGGUUCAUGACUGGGGUG
rnacentral:rRNA from 1 species